CAUAGCUCAGCCUGGAAUCGAAGGACCGGGCUUGUGUGUGCCGUCUUGGUAUUCCGAUCUCGCAAGCAUUUACCCUUGAAGCGAACCUCAGUGAACAAAUCGUCUCCCCAACGGAUGAUGCCUCCGGAGAAAUGUUGACAAACAUCAGCGUUUUGGAAUCACCUCCAAGGCAAGGCUGCAAUAGAAAGUAUGUAAGUUUUGAGUUCCUGAAGGGCACAUGAUCGUCUCCUUUCGCAAUUGCAAAGAUAACAUCGCUAAGAGCUGACAAGCUUUUAUUGAUUGCCUGAGUUUCCUUCAAACGAUCACCCGUGGAGCCACUUUUAGCAAGGCGUUCACUGCCAGCUAAAUCAAUCAAGUUAAGGACACCUUGGACUUGUUGCCCAGUUACCUCAUUUGAUCCAGAUAUCUUCAGUGUGAAAACAAAAUGGCUCCGGGAAGAUUGUUCAUUCAUUUGGCGUAUUUACCUGCUUUGGGAUGCUUUCGCUAGAAGAGAAGUUACGUCGGCGCUACUAAAAACAUCAGCAACAGUAAGGUCAGUGACGGUUGUGUUCCCUUGUGGAUCAUGCUUUAUGGUGUAUUGUUUACUGGUAGACAGAUCAAAGUUAUUAGACCGACCAGGUGCUAACAAAUCACGAAUUGUCUCAUUGUAUAUUUCCAACAUUGAUGCCUGCACAUAUACUUCCAUCCUUGAGAUUCAAGAGACUGACUUGUCUUAAAAAUUUGCUCCAAAGAACGAGGUAUGAUGCCUUUCUGAUCACGCCCUGGUGGACCCAUCAUUGUAUAAGUUUUACCAGACCCUGUUUGACCAUAAGCAAAUAUGCAUACCUUGUACCCAUCAAGUGCACUUUGAACUAGUUGUGACAUUUCCACAAACACAUCUUCUUGUGAAGCACCGUGAUCGAAAACUUUCUUCAACAAUGAAUAUGAUUUUACCUUGGUUCAUCAAAUCAAUACCACGCCCGGCAGAUUCAACUGAUGUUGGAUAUGAAAUAAGGGCUUCUUCUGCACCACUAGAAUCGUUGUCUUGCAAAAAAGUGCUAGUAUGCUGAAACAAUUACCAAUAUUGUAUUGUGCAGUUUCUUUCGUAGCUUGUCAGCUUCAACAAUUUGAAAUUCUGCGGAUGCCAAACGUUCUUCCAGAUCUUUUAUUAUCACCUUUUGUUCUUCAUAUCCUGUCAUCGCCUCAAUUGCAGUAACAUCAGCAAGCUGCAAAAAAGCAUAAUGGUGAGCCAAAUAGUUGCGCACAGAAAGUAUUGAUUUGGUUAAUCUGAAACCACUAACCUCAAAGGCUGACACUUUUACACUCAAGCUUUCACAGUCUUUUGUAGACUUGCCUGCUAGUUCCUUGUAAUUAGCAAGCUCAGCACUCAAGGUAUUUACUUGAGAAACAGACUGAUCACGGUCUUCUCUAAUUUGGUGUAGCUCAAUUCUAAGGCAAUCCACUUCUUUCAUAAGUUGUUCUUUCAUUCUAAUGGCCUCUUGUUGAGAAAAGAAUCCAAAUGGUUCUUCAUUGAAUUGUUUAAAUCUUUCAGAGAAGCCAUUGUUUCCAUCAUGGCACUCUUCUCUUUUUGCAGUUUUGAGAUGAUGUCCCCACUCUUAGAGGCAUCAGCUUGAAGAUUACUGUUGUAUUGCUGCAAGCUGGUGUUGUACUCCUGCAGUCUUUUGUUCGUGUCUUGGACCAUUUUCAGCUAGACUCCACAGCAAGCUGCCAGUUUAAAGGUCAACAAGUGUAAGCCGUGGCUGAAACCAAUCACACAGGCACACAGCAACAGUACAUAACUAUGCAGCUUAUUAUGCGAUAGAUGAGUUCUAACCAUCCUGUCGGCCUUCUCCUUGUUGAAGCUUUCCUCCAACGAAUCGCACUGCCGCGUCAAGUUCAGGUGUGCAGCUUUCAGCUCUUCCAGAUCACUGCUAAGCUGGGCCUCUGGAAAGUACCAUCUUGUUCUCUUGGUGUGAUCAAAUAAAUACAAAAAAAAGAGAAGUGCAUUCGAAUUCAUUACCCAACUUGGCGUGCUGGGCAUUCUCUGCAUCCAUCGUACUACGGAGCUUCUCCUGCUCGACCAAGUAGCCGUCCUCCAACUCAAUGUACCAGCGGAUGCAAGCUCUCAGCUUCUUGAUGUACUCACUCAUCUGCUCAAACCCACCUUGUAGUCGGUCUUGCUCUUCCCCUUCAUCUUCUCGGCGAGCAGCCGCUCCACAUCCUCCCUCCCGGUGAACUCGAUCACAGGCGCCGCCGG
rnacentral:sRNA from 1 species